UACGAAGGGGGCUAGCGUUGUUCGGAAUCACUGGGCGUAAAGCGCACGUAGGCGGAUCGUUAAGUCGGGGGUGAAAUCCCAGGGCUCAACCCUGGAACUGCCUUCGAUACUGGCGAGCUUCGAGUCCGGGAGAGGUGAGUGGAACUCCGAGUGUAGAGGUGAAAUUCGUAGAUAUUCGCAAGAACACCAGUGGCGAAGGCGGCUCACUGGCCCGUAACUGACGCUGAGGCACGAAAGCGCGGGGAGCAAACAGG
rnacentral:rRNA from 1 species